rnacentral:rRNA from 1 species
UACAGAGGUGGCGAGCGUUGUUCGGAUUUACUGGGCGUAAAGGGCGCGUAGGCGGCGCGUAAAGUCGGACAUGAAAUCAUUGGGCUUAACCCGAUGGCUGUGCCCGAUACUUGCGUGCUUAGAGUGCGGGAGAGGCAAUCGGAAUUCUCGGUGUAGCGGUGAAAUGCGUAGAUAUCGAGAGGAACUCCGGUGACGAAGGUGGGUUGCUGGACCGACACUGACGCUGAGGCGCGAAAGCUAGGGGAGCAAACGGG